AGAGAGAGAGAGGACUAGACGGCUGCUGAAAUUCGUCUACUUGAUGAAUUUGAGUGCGCUGCUCUAUCGAAUUCUUAUGCAUUUAUUUAAUCUUAUUAUUUCAACCACUAAUUAUAAUAAAUUAAAACAACAGCCAAAGCGCGGCCUGCUUCUUUGGCUGCAGCCGCUGCUUCUACUUCUGGGCUUCGGCUUCUGCUUCUGCUGGUGGUGGUGGACUUUUUCUGAAUUGGGGUUUCAUCAUCAUCAAUCACUUGUUCAUCUAUCAAAGUCCCAAUCUCUGUCGUUGCGGUGGUGAUCAUUAGGAAAUUAAGAAGAUGGGAGCGGUUUGUUCCAAGAAGUCGAGGAGUACGAGCGUGAAGAGCGCCGGUUGGGAUAUCAAUCGGCAACAAGUUCAAGUUGAGCAGCCCAAGUCAAGCUUGAAGACGGGUGGCGGCUUCACUCCGUCCUCGCCUCAGCCUCCGCGCAGGGAUGACAACGAGGAACAGUUUUCAGACAAGGAAGACAAUCAGAUUCAGAUGGAUAGAAUUAAUCCUUUUGCGUAUGAGUCUGACGAUGAAUUCUACGACGGAAUUCCGCGCUAUCCCACCUCCUUGUCUCAGAAAUCCAGCUCCUUUCGCUCUAAGCAGGCCGCCGCUAAGGUUUCUGAGGUGAGUUCGCGGUUGGGCAGAGCUGGCAGUGCUGGCCUUGGAAAGGCAGUCCAGGUCUUGGACACACUCGGGAGCAGCAUGACAAAUUUGAAUUCCGGCCCUGGUUUCGCUUCCGCAGCACCUGCCAAAGGCAAUGAAAUUGCAAUCAUUUCGUUUGAGAUUGCCAACACUAUUGUUAAGGGUUCCAAUCUAAUGCAAUCCCUUUCCAAGCGAUCUAUGCGCCAGUUGAAAGAAGUGGUGCUUGUUUCACAAGGUGUGCAGCAUUUGGUGUCCAAAGAUAUGGAUGAAUUAUUAAGGAUUGUUGAGCUGACAAAAGGGAAGAACUACAAAUUUUUUCGGGGGAGGUUGUUCGUUUUGGAAAUCAAUGCAAGGAGUCUCAGUGGCACAACUUGGACCGAUAUUUUGACAAAAUCAGCAGAGAACUUACCCCUCUGAAGCAUCUGAAGGAGGAUGUAGGUUCGUUGAUGCAGCAACUGAUGGCUUUGGUCUUGUUUACUGCUGAAUUAUACCAUGAGUUUCAUGCGUUGGACCGAUUGGAACAAAUCUAUGCACGCAAGCGUCAGGAAGAAGGUGACAGCCUUGGAAGCUUGAGGUCAGGAUUAAAAAGCCAAAGGAAAAUAGUUAAAUCUUUAAAGAAAAAGUCGCUUUGGUCCAAAAGUAUGGAAGAGGUGAUGGAGAAGCUUGUUGAUAUUGUCCACUUUUUACAUCUAGAAAUACAUUCGGCCUUUGGUGGUGCUGAUAGUCAUGAAGCAGUGGAGGGACCUAUGAGCAAUCAUCAAAGACUCGGACCAGCUGGACUUUCUUUACACUAUGCAAAUAUAAUCCUCCAAAUUGAUAGUCUUGUAGCCCGGUCAAGUUCUAUGCCUCAAAAUACAAAGGAUACAUUAUAUCAGAACUUGCCGCCUAAUAUAAAAUCAUCCUUGCGCUCCAAAUUACAGUCUUUUCAUGUUAAAGAAGAGCUUAGUAUUACAGAUAUCAAAGCUGAGAUGGAGAAAACUCUACACUGGCUUGUUCCAGUUGCUACAAACACAGCAAAAGCCCAUCAUGGUUUUGGCUGGGUAGGAGAGUGGGCGGGCUCUGGUUCCGAGUCAAACCGAAAGCCAAUAUCGCAGACUGAAGCGAUUCGAAUUGAGACAUUCCAUCAUGCAGACAAGGAAAAAACAGAAGCCUGUAUACUCGAUCUAAUCUUAUGGCUUCACCAUUUGGCUUGUCAAACCAAGUCUAGUGCCGAUAAGGGGGGCAUGAAGUCACCUGUCAAGUCCACAACCAGUACAACCCUCGUGAAGACAAAUAAGCAGCUGCCCACUGGAGUUCAACCAAGCAUGCUAACAACUGAAGACGCGGAGAUGCUGCAGGAUGUGAGCAAGAGAAAACGGAUUCCAGGUAAUAGUAAGAGUCAGGACUUUGACAGUGCCAGCUCUAGUUCAACAGAGGGCCGAAAAUUGAGUAAGAGUAACAGCUACUCACAUGGGCAAGGAAGCGAGAAAUUGUUACAUUUGAGUAGGCCCUCGUCUGGCGUUGAUUUUGGUAUCGAUAAGGAAAAAGCACUGGAUGUUAUAGAUAGAGUGGACGGACUCACAAUCACAUAGAGUUUACCGAAUGUUAUGUGUUAUAGACGUCAUUCGGCGGAGACGAGUCAAGUGGUAUGUGCGGCAAGGGGGGAGAAAUUUACUGUGCAUAUUUUCACCAUGCUUAUACAUCGUGAAUGUUUCGACCAAAUAUGAAAAAAAAGGGGGAAGGCAUAUGUACAGUGUGGAUGUAGUGAGUGGUGAGUGACUGAUUUUCUGAGUAGGGGUGUAUAGAGCUCAAGGAUGGGUGCUUUUGGGCACAAAUAUUUAUAUUUGUAUUUGUAGAUUUUAUUUGUUUAUUUUUAAAUUAUCUGGAUUUCGAUGUAUCUGUGUGUGUUAUAUUGCACUAUUACUAGUACAGUAAUUCUAAUAGGUGCCAUUUUGA